GUCGAACGGGGUUGAAGAGCUUGCUCCUCGAUUCAGUAGCGCACGGAUGAGUAACGCGUGGAUAACCUGCCCUGGAAUCCGGAAUAACAUCUCGAAAGGGGUGCUAAUACCGAAUAAGCACACAACCCUUCAGAAUCGCGGGAAAAGGCAGCCUCUGAUGCAAACUGCCGUUUCAGGAUGGGUCCGCAUCCUAUCAGCUUGUUGGCAGGGUAAUGGCCUACCAAGGCGACGACGGAUAGCUGGUCUGAAAGGACGGUCAGCCACACUGAAACUGAAACACGGUCCAGACUCCUACGGGAGACAGCAGUAAGGAAUUUUGCACAAUGAACGAAAGCCUAACGCAGCGAUGCCGCAUGAGUGAAGAAGGCCUUCGGAUCAUAAAGCUCUGUCGCAGGAAAAGAAAUGUACGAAUACCAAUACCGCCCGCGCUUGACAGUACCCUGAAAGAAAGCACCGACUAACUCCGUGCCAGCAGCCGCGGUAAUACAAAAAAUGCGAGCGUUGUUCGGAUUUAUUGGGCGUAAAACGCGUGCAGGCGGUUUGUCAAGUCUGAUAUGAAAGCCCCGAGCCCAACCCAAAAAGUACACUAAAAACUGGCAAACUUGAAUACGGGAGAGGAGAGUGGAAUUCCUAAUAUAGGAGUGAAAUCCGUAGAUAUCAAAAGGAAUACCGAUAGCGAAGGCAGCUCUCUGGACCGAUACUGACGCUAAGACACAAAAGCGUGGAUAGCAAACAGGAUUAGAUACCCUAAUAGUCCACACCGU
rnacentral:rRNA from 1 species